rnacentral:rRNA from 1 species
GAGUUUGAUCCUGGCUCAGGACGAACGCUGGCGGCGUGCCUAAUACAUGCAAGUCGAGCGAGCUUGCCUAGAUGAUUUUAGUGCUUGCACUAAAUGAAACUAGAUACAAGCGAGCGGCGGACGGGUGAGUAACACGUGGGUAACCUGCCCAAGAGACUGGGAUAACACCUGGAAACAGAUGCUAAUACCGGAUAACAACACUAGACGCAUGUCUAGAGUUUGAAAGAUGGUUCUGCUAUCACUCUUGGAUGGACCUGCGGUGCAUUAGCUAGUUGGUAAGGUAACGGCUUACCAAGGCAAUGAUGCAUAGCCGAGUUGAGAGACUGAUCGGCCACAUUGGGACUGAGACACGGCCCAAACUCCUACGGGAGGCAGCAGUAGGGAAUCUUCCACAAUGGACGAAAGUCUGAUGGAGCAACGCCGCGUGAGUGAAGAAGGGUUUCGGCUCGUAAAGCUCUGUUGGUAGUGAAGAAAGAUAGAGGUAGUAACUGGCCUUUAUUUGACGGUAAUUACUUAGAAAGUCACGGCUAACUACGUGCCAGCAGCCGCGGUAAUACGUAGGUGGCAAGCGUUGUCCGGAUUUAUUGGGCGUAAAGCGAGUGCAGGCGGUUCAAUAAGUCUGAUGUGAAAGCCUUCGGCUCAACCGGAGAAUUGCAUCAGAAACUGUUGAACUUGAGUGCAGAAGAGGAGAGUGGAACUCCAUGUGUAGCGGUGGAAUGCGUAGAUAUAUGGAAGAACACCAGUGGCGAAGGCGGCUCUCUGGUCUGCAACUGACGCUGAGGCUCGAAAGCAUGGGUAGCGAACAGGAUUAGAUACCCUGGUAGUCCAUGCCGUAAACGAUGAGUGCUAAGUGUUGGGAGGUUUCCGCCUCUCAGUGAUGCAGCUAACGCAUUAAGCACUCCGCCUGGGGAGUACGACCGCAAGGUUGAAACUCAAAGGAAUUGACGG